CUUAACUCUUCUGGGCCCACCAGCGUAAUAAACUGAGUUCUCCAACUGUUCAAGUGUGGGGCUUGGUUUCUCGGGUACUGGUUUCUGCAACAUUUCUGGAGGCCCCAGUGAGAUUCCAACCACGCUGGCCCCUUGAGCCACCAGACUGGUGGUUCAGCUGGGUCGGAGCGGAGGAGCCCCGAGAUGAAUGAGGAGGCAUGCCACCUGGCAGUAUUCCAGGUUGUCUUUCAGACUGGCGACCUGACUCUGGAUGGCUGAGCCCUGACCCUUCUCAUUGGAGGGACGGACCAACUCACCAGGAAUGGCCACAGGAUCAGGCUACCAUAUUUUGGACUGAAUAAGGCAAGCUAUGGGAAGAUAUGAUUUUCCCUUCAAAACUCCAAGUAAAAAGAAGGGCAGAGAAAAAGCCAUGGAUAGACCAUGAACACAAGGAGAAUCCAGAGGAUCUAAGGAAUGGCCUUAACUGCGAAGCAAGUCUGUGGCUGGGA
ensembl:lncRNA